rnacentral:lncRNA from 1 species
UUUUUAUUUUUUUAAUCUAUCUUUUUAUUCAAAAUAUGCUCAAAACUUUUCUUCAUUUUCAGAAGCUAACUAAAUUAAGAUACUAAGAGCUCUCUCCCCCUUUUGGAAUGAAUUGGAUUUUUUAAUCAGAUUCUCAAUUAUGCCUCUUUCCUUUUGGAAUAUAAUCAAUUUAUUAAUCAAAUUUUCAGAUUCAAAUACUUUAUGCUUUAAGAGUUUAAAAAGAAUAGAGCUUUUCAAAUAUUUGAGCAGUGAAAUUAAGCAUAAUAUUUACUUCAAUAUUCAUUCUUUUUUUUAAUAAAAAUCAGC